GGGAAAGCUCCGCCCUGUCUGCGCUGAGGGGGCGGUGGCCUCAGCGGCCUCGGGUCUUGCGGUACCUUGGGCAGCCGGGGGAGGUCAUUGCUUUUAUCAAGAGAAGCUUAUUCUUCAGCUCUGGGAUGCACAGCCUGUUGUCUGUCACAUGAAAGUAAUGUUGCAAACAAGCUAGGAAGCACCCAAGCUGAAUAAGGUCAGUAUCCGGAAGGAUCUAAGAGAACUACCAUAGAUGGGUGUCUUACAAUUACACAGAUUCACAGGUUCACAGAAUAUCAGGGAUUGGAAGUGACCUGGAAAGCUCAUCCAGUGCAAUCCCCCCAUGGAGCAGGAACACUCAGAUGAGGUUACACAGGAAGGUGUCCAGGCGGGUUGGAAUGUCUGCACAGAAGGAGACUCCACAACCUCCCUGGGCAGCCUGGGCCAGGCUCUGCCACCCUCACCAUCAAGAAGUUUCUUCUCAUAUUUAAGUGGAACCUCCUGCGUUCCAGUUUGUACCCAUUGCCCCUUGUCCUGUCACUGCUUGUCACCCAGAAGAGCCUGGCUCCAUCCUCCUGACACUCCCCCUUUCCAUAUUGAUCCCCAUGAAUGAGUCCCCCCUCAGUCUCCUCUUGUCCAGCUCCAGAGCCCCAGCUCCCUCAGCCUUUCCUCACACGGGAGAUGCUCCACUCCCUCCAGCAUCUUGGUGGCUGCGCUGGACUCUCUCCAGCAGUUCCCUGUCCUGCUGGAACUGAGGGGCCCAAUUGUUUUGCUGGACUUCUGUGUUUUCAGGCACUUGUGUAGACAUUAAGAAGGCUGUAACAUACGGGCCUCAAAACUACGGUUACCAUCUUGGCUAUAGUCUCUCAAUACGGACUGGGCACAGACUAGAUCCUUGCAAAUAUUAAUUUUGAAUAGGGAAGGAUGUUAAACUUCAAGCUUGACAUUCAAGAACUGUCUCCUACAAGGGAGUGUGUGGCAAAUUUUGCAAAAGCGAGGGAAGGUAUUACCCCCAUAGUUUAGAAAGUCCAUAUUUCCUCCACAGAUUGCUAAACAUGAGCCACUGUUGGGGUGAAAUAUUAUUGUUUAUGAACAAAGCUUAAGGAUUACUAUCCCAAGUAUUUUGGGAUUUGGGAGCAUCUUUCUGUGCUAACCAUGAAGUUCUCUUAGAACUUCUAGAUGACCUGGCUGAAGUUUUCAGCUCCCUCAGAUUUUACCUGUAUAGCAGACAGUGGCGUUAACUUUAAUGAAGGGACAGAAUCCAAAACCUUUCUUAGUUGCAGAUAGAGUUCUGCAAGCUCUGUCUUGGGUUCCUUUGCUUCUACUUUGUCAAAUUAUCUGUCCACUUGGAAUAAAUUACUA